CGAAAUGUAAACUCAAAAUGUUUUUGCAUCCCACAUGUUGGGAAUUUAAAUACCUUACCUUAGGGCAUUAUUCCUGUUGCCUUUUGCCCAUCACAAGCCAUUUUAAGUAAAUAUGCAUCUGUAAAGCAUACAUUUUAUAUUUGAAGGGUUAUUACCCAUAUAUUUCUUUGGUGGCUCAGCUAGCAUCCAGACUGUCUUACACUGAUGAUGAUUUUGUAAUAAAAUCGAAAACGUUUUGUUCUGAUGUAGCCCUUUAGGGAUUUUAAUAAAUUUUAUACCUUUUACAAAGGAUUUAUUCCAAUUUUUGUGAUUGAUGGUAUACAGCCAACUACAGGAAAACUUUUCUUUCCUUGUGGAUUUUGAUAUAUUAGUGUUCUUAGUAAAUGUAUUAUUUUUUAUAAUUUGUGUGUCUUUGGAUUUGUCUUCCUCGGGAAUAAGAUAUUUUAUAAUAAUAGUAAGUAUAUUUAAAGUAUUUUUGUAUACUUCACUUGGUCUAUUAAAUUUAUCAAUAUGUAUGAAAAAUCUUGUAACCUGUCAAAGCAAAAGGAAUAUGGCUCAGUGGUAGAACGUGUGAUCGGAGAUCGAGAGGUCCCGGGUUCAAAUCCCGGACGAUUCAUAUUCUUUUUUUUUAUAUUUUUGUAGUAUCGUUAUAGUAUCUAUCGUUUUAAUAAAAUUUUUUUAAACGUAGUAUGUAAAGAAAGUUAGUUUAAUAUUCAAAUAAAAUACAAAUAACCU